AAUUGAACUGAAUUUGCAAAGAAAUCCCAAUUUGUUCCCACUUUUGUUCCCACCAAGCGAUACUUCUAACAACGAGAAACUUAUAUAAAUACCUGCCUUACAAGCAGGGGGUCACUGGUUCGAAUCCAGUAGCGCCCA
rnacentral:tRNA from 1 species